AGACGACGCUGGCGGCGUGCCUAACACAUGCAAGUCGAGCGAUUCUCUUCGGAGAAGAGCGGCGGACGGGUGAGUAACGCGUGGGUAACCUGCCCUGUACACACGGAUAACAUACCGAAAGGUAUGCUAAUACGAGAUAAUAUGCUUUUAUCGCAUGGUAGAAGUAUCAAAGCUCCGGCGGUACAGGAUGGACCCGCGUCUGAUUAGCUAGUUGGUAAGGUAACGGCUUACCAAGGCGACGAUCAGUAGCCGGCCUGAGAGGGUGGCCGGCCACACUGGGACUGAGACAAGGCCCAGACUCCUACGGGAGGCAGCAGUCGGGAAUCUUGCACAAUGGGCGAAAGCCUGAUGCAGCGACGCCGCGUGAGCGAUGAAGGCCUUCGGGUCUUAAAACCCUGUCGAGCGGGAAGAAAUCCGUGCAAACGGAUUGACGGUACCGCUGGAGGAAGCCCCGGCUAAUCCCGUG
rnacentral:rRNA from 1 species